rnacentral:lncRNA from 1 species
UGUGCAUCCUCAUAGUAAUUUCUUUAAUGAAACACGAGACUGGCUACUGUUCUAUCAAUAGCAUUUGUUUUUGAUUCUGCUCCUCCAGCCCUGAAUGUCAUAGCCCAACAUAUUAGUCAAUUUGGGUUAUGUUUUACGCAAAGGAAAAAGGUCAAGCGAGUUACAAACUGUAUUCUUACUCCAUAAAACCUUCUUUCUAGAUCACUUUAUUCGGAAACUAUUAUUAUUGGUGUUUGUAAACCCAAGUAACAAAAUUGAAAAGAAAAUUGUUUCUGGGUCAACCCAUCUACGGCUGUAAACGGGCCAAGCCAAGCCAGCUCGUUUAUUUUUAAAUUUUGUAUUUUUGCACGCUCGCGUACACACACACACACACAUAUAUUAAAACCAUAAAAUAAUAUUUUUAAAAUACACAUAUGCAAAAUAUUUUUAAAAUAUAUAUUUAAUUUAAAUGAUCCACACGAGUGAGCCAAGCAGCCCUAAACCUGACACAUAAUACUAAUUGUUUUGACCCAACCUGACCCGACCCGUGUGAAUUUGGCACCUCUAUUAAUAUGCUCAAAUCAAAGCCUAAAACAAGGGGCACCACCACAGAUUUUCUAUAACGAAAGAAGUCAAAACAUUUUCCUUCAUUGGAAAAAAGAUCUUACUUUCUUAUGAAAACCACUCAAAGAUGCGGUACUUGUAAGCACCACCGGUAUCUAACUAUGUUAGAUGAAUGAAGAUUUAACAUGCAAAAGUUAUGAGCGAACUACGCACCUCGACGAAUCAUCAAUAGAAGUCAUCGUAGAUUCUCCAUCUUGGCAUGAGUUCAAUGAUUGUUUUGAGCUUUCUGCAAGUCGGUAGAAAGCAUCUCGAAAGCAAAUUCGAGUUUUGUCCGUGAACUGAUAAAAAGAAAAAAAAAGUUCAUUAAGGGUGUUCAUACAAAAUUUGAAAUUUCAAUAACACCCAUGUAAUUGUCACCUGUGAAGUCACCCUUUCAAGAUUACUCAAUACUGAUUCUUCCAUGUUCUCGUUGCUUGUAUAUUCCUAAGGCAAAUAAAGAAACAAAUAUUAGAUACAGCAUACCAGUUAUUGCGCGCAUAUAACAAAGAGAGUUUGACUUAACUGGUCAAACAAACUAGUCUUUAUUUAAUUAAAACUUGAUCGUUACAGUAGGCAAAAGUAGUAAUAUUCCAAUGUCUAUUAUGUUCGACUAUGAACGUUGACUAUUAAUGAAGAAAAAUCAAAAACCUUGGGCAUUUGAUAAGUUGUUGAAACUUCACUGUUACCCCAGUCUGUUGAUGGAGAGAAGGCAUGUGUUUUGAGGUAUUUCGAGCUUUGUCCAUGGCUUCCUACAUAUUCAGAAUUUACCAUUUCGCCCUCAAAGAUGUUAGCAUCAUUGCCUAGGUCAUGGGGCCCAGUUGGAUCAUUUUCUUCAAGUAAUGAACUGCUGCAAAACAGACCCAAAAGUAAACCAUGAGAUAGGAAAUUUAUCGUGUUGCAAGGGGCGUUAACAGGAGUUGUUAAAAUCGAACUUGACCCAAAAUAUGCAAUAAAUCAGAAAUUAAAACUUUCAUAUUAGUCGGAAAAGAGUGUUGAAAAAAAGAACUCGGUGGAUCCGAGUACUUUCUUACCAUCCCAGACAGUGAGGACCACUUUGUGUCACUCCAACCUCUUCUUUUUUUAAUUAGUAGUAAAAUACGACAUAAAAUCAAGAAUCUUAAUCCCAAAAGUUGAGCAUGUACAAGAAUAUGUCAUCCAUGUGAUUGAUUCUGGCUUCUUCCUCUACAAAUUGUUGAAAAUCUGCUUCAUCAUUCCACAAAAGGGAUCCACCAUUGAUGUAUAUGCUUGAAUUGUGAGUUCUUCUCCUGUCAUGGAGUUCAAAUUCUUUUUUGAGCCAGUCAUUCCCCAUUGCGACCAGCUUUCUGGUGAUGAUAUCAUUUGUGCUUCUUCAUAAUCCUUUGGAACAACAACAUCUUCAACUUCGUUACUGAAAUACCACUCCAUCUUAAUAGUCACUGUAAAUGAAAACAACACAUCAAACAUAGGCUCAUUGCACCUUUUAUGUUACAAAAAAGUGCUAUUUUUGGUUCAUAUCAUAAACCUUCUCAAUUUUUAUGUAUAAUUUUUGCAUAUGAAACUCUCUAAAGAUAUAAAAAAGGGCACAGAUUUUUUUUUCAACCCAACUUAGCCAAAAAUUGUGCAAAAAAAAAUAUAUAUAAAUAAAUAAAUAUUACACUAAUGACUCGUUAGCCAAAAAUUGAUAAAGUGACAUUCAAUUUUU